GAUAAGGUAGUUGAGUGAUGAAGGUGAUGAGCUAUUAAUCCAUUGUGUUUGAUAUGCAAGGGUUCAAAUCCCAUCCCUGUCC
rnacentral:tRNA from 1 species